UUUUGUAUAUGAUGUGUGGGACAAAGAGGAAACGGUUUCACGGAACUAAUGGAUAAAACAUCCACGACGGCUCAAUGCUAGGAAUAGCAACAGAGCAAAAGGAGGUGGGAGAAGAGAAAAGUAUAUUUGCAUCUCCUCUUUCAAGCUUGGAAUCAAAGAAUAAAAAAGAAAGAGAACAUAUUUGUCACGUUCCGAACCUCGAGCGUAUGAACAUCCCUCGAUGGUCGAUAGAAUUUGCGACAUCCCAGGACGCGUCGCUGACCCUUUUGUUUUAUGUACAUGCGGAAGUGAACUAAUAAACCCCAGACAACAAUCAAACAUGGGAUAGAAAAGUAGGACAACCAAUUUUUACAAAACACACUUUAUAUACAGAGGUCUGUUUCAAAAAGAAACUACCAGACAAUCCACACCCCGGACCCUUUCACCUCGAGCUCCGGAUUCUCCAUCCUAGGGAUUUGAAAAAGUUAACCACGACGGGGUGAGAAGAAAUCUCAGCGAGUCCACACCCUAAACCCCGAUUAAGAUGAAAAUUCACCUAGAGGCAGCCUAAACAUGCAUCACUCACAACUUACAUCGCCUUGGUACCUCCCUGCAUAUUAGUACAUCUCAUAUAUCAUAUGUACACAACAAACAUAAUCAAUAACUGAAACACAUCAAUUCAUUCUCAAACAAUUAUAGGGGUCCCGAUUAUAAGGCUAAACUGUCAUGACAUGUUAUAUUCCGUGUCACACAAUUUCGUCCCAUAAUCAAGCGCGGCUAUCUCAUAUCGAUGGUUCAUUCACGCUCAAUAAUUAAACUCAAGGCUCUAGAGGUGGCUCCCAUGAAAUUAUUUUAUUGUGUAGCACUUAGCCCUUGAGCAUAUAUAGCAGUAGUACAAGGCUCUAGAGGUGGCUCCCAUAAAAUUAUGUUGUCGUGUAGUACUUAGCCCUUGACCACACAUAGCAGUAGUACAAAGCUCUAGAGGUGGCUCCCACGAAGUUAUGUUAUUGUGUAGCACUUAGCCCUUGACCAUGACUAGCAAUAGUACAAGGCUCUAGAGGCGGCUCCCACGAAAUUACGUUAUCGUGUAGCACUUAGCCCUUGACUUUGCAUGACAGUAGUGCAAAGCUCUAGAGAUGGCUCCCAUGUGACUCAAGUCGCCAUGUAGCACUUAGCCCUUGACUACAAGGCCCUUUACUCGUUCACUACCCCGCAUAAAUGCAUCAGGGUACUUAGGUGACCACACACACAUCCAUACUUGACUUAGGAUAUCGUGCUUUGCACUCAAAUACUACCAUUUCAAAUAAUAGACUUGGCUAACUUUCUUUGUAUUAAAAAUACCUGGUAAAAUAAUUGUGGGUGUUCACACAUUCAAAUUGAACCAUAAAAUGUGAUAUUGUCACAUUUCAAAAUCCCACGAUUUUAUGUAGUACAUAAAAUAUUUUUUGCAUCAAAACCUGACACUCAGUAUUUUUCUAAUUAAAUGCCAUAAAAUCAUAUUUUUACAAUAAUAAUCAAAAACAACAAUCCAGCACCCAAUUGCACAAAUCACUAAUCAAUUUCAUAUGUAAACGCAUCCAUGACGAUCAACAUAAAAUUUCACUAACUGGCUAUCCCGAUACAAUUUACACUAAUUAUAAUUAAAUAAAUAAAUUACAUUUAAUUAAACUGAACUACUUAAUUAACCUAACAAUGCAGGCACCUCAUCAAUCAGGUCAACCUUAUCCUCCCUCAUAUAGUCAUGAACACCAAAAAUCCCUUUUAAAAAUAAACUUAGGCCCUGUUUGUUUGUGUUCUUUCUUUUUUUUUGUUCUUGAACACAAUUCCUUUUUUUUGUUCCGAGGAACAAAAAAAGAACAGAAAUGCAUUUGUUUGCAUUUUUGUUCCAAAUUAUUUUUUGUUUCCAGGAACAAUUGUUUCUAGAACACUUCCGAAAAACAAUUUUUCUAUCUCCUAUUUUUUUCUUCUCUUUCUUUUCUUCUUCUUUUUUCUUUGGCCGGUCGUCGGCCUCGGCCAUGGCUGGCGACCUUGCCGGAGGGGUGCCGCCAUGGCGAGGCUCAGCCUCGCCUUGACAACUCGCCCAAAUUAGGCGAGGCCGAGCUCGCCCAACCAUCGGCGAGGCUUAGCCUCGCCAGGCCAUUGCUAGGUCGGUGUCGCCUAGCGGUGGCCCGACGAGGCCGAGCCUUGCCAGGGGCCGGUGAGCCUCGUCGUGGCUAGGCAAGGCCGCCAGCCCUCUUUGGCCGGUCGCUAGCCAUGGCCGAGGCUGGCGACCGGCCAAAAGGAAGAAAAAAGGAAAAAGAAAAAAGAAAAAAUGAAAGAGAAAAUAAAAAUAUUAAAAAAUUAUAUAAGUUUAUCAAAUGUGUUUUUGUUCUUUUUCUAUUCCAAGAACAAGUUUACCAAACACCUUCUUCUAUUCAAAAUUGUUCCUCGGAACAUAAAUAGUUCCUGGAACAAUUUUUGAACAGAAACGUUACCAAACGCACCCUUAGUAACUUUUUUUUUUGGUUCAAACUUUCCGAAAUAAAUUCGUACAGGGUCACGUAUUUGAAAUUAACCUGCCAAACUUUGCACGCAUCUUGUAUAAAACCUCAUCGUUUUAUUGAGCACAUAAAACUUGGCAUUCAAACCCGACACCAUAUUUCUUUUCUAAUUUCUUUUUUAACCACUCUCUUUUGAAAACUAACCUUAGUAACCUCUCUCUCUCUCUCUCUCUCUCUCUCUCUCUCUCUCUCUCUCUCUCUUUGUUGAAAACGUUUAGAAAUAAAUUCAUAGGUGCUCAUAUACUCAAAAUUAAUCCGUCAAACUUUACACGUACCUAGUUUAAAACCUCAUUAUUUUAUUGAGCAAAUAAGUUUUGGUGUCCAGAUCCGACAUCUCAUUUAUUUUCUAUUUAAUAGCAUAAAAGGUCACAUUUUGCAAUAAGACUAGGCAACCAACAUAGAGCAAUCAAUCUCAUCGUCUCAUGCACAAGCUCUCAGCAUGCCCCACACAUCAACCACAUCACAAAACAUACAAUUUCCAGCAAACAAAACCUCAAAAACAACCACAAAACCACAACCGACCCUAUCCUGCAGAAAUCGGGUCAUUCGCAUGUCUCUAAGUUUAAAUCCAGAAAUCUAACCAUACGAGCUCAAAAAAUUCUCAAAUUUGAAUAUGUUCUAAAGGACAACUAAACGAACAUUAUGAAGACACCUUGACCCAAAUAUUUCUAGAUUAAGAGCAGUAAAUCGCUCAAACUGUUACAAAAACUGUGUUCAUUUCCAGAAAUCACGUUUUCCAAAAUCAGUUUGGUUCGAGGUCCAAAACAUGUCCGUUUGAUCUUAAAUUUGACUAUGUUAAAAUAAAAGAUGUGAGGAACAAUUUUUUUUUUUAAAAACCCAUUUCGAAAAUCGAACCCGAAGAGUUAAUAAAAAUCAUUUAAACACGAAAAUGUCACAAAUUCCAACACAGUCCAAGAUCCUAUUUUGCAAAUGACGAAUCUGAAAUCUCAUUUUUUUAAAUCUCUAAAAUUUUGAGUAAAGUAUAUGUUAUAGCUGAAGAUGUCUAAAACAUUUAUCAAGAAGGAAGCAACCUCAAAAUCAUAACACAUUUCCAUCCAUGAAAAUAGCAAAUGGCGAGGGUCCAACGAACUGAUCUGGGAAGAAAUUCACUAAACCAAACUAAACCACCCUUAUUAGUGCUAAUUCAACCAAUUAGAUCAACACUAAUCCAUUUUAAGGCUAAUCUCACUUAAUAAUAAUUUAACUAAGCUAAUUAAUACUAAUCCACCUAACUAAGUGCAUCCUAAUUCAAGAUUAGGGCGUUAACUCACUGGAUUAGCAAGAUAAAAGGUCCACGGCUACGGUGGCGCGACGGCGGUGAGAUCCCGUGCCUACGAUUUCUCCAACGGAGGGUCGGAUGGGGCUGAAAAAUGGCUCACAAGCUCACAGCUUGAGCUGGGAUUCUAUUCUGCUUGAGUUGGCUGAACGGUCUUGGUUGGGCUGGCUGUGGCGGGGCUACUUGUGGGCAGAGGAGGACGGUUGGGCGGUGAGGUGGUGAGGGUGGUGCGGGAUCGAGAGGUGGAGCGAUGGCUGGUCAAGGCUGGCGUGAGGAGGUGGCAAUAGCAAGGAAAGGGAGGAUGAAGAAGAAAGGAAGAAGAGGAAGAUGAAGCAAAGCAGAAACAAAAGUUGUUCAACUGGAAAGGAGGGGCUGUUCGCACGUUCAAGGGGGAAGAGAUGAGGGAGAGAGGGGACAAGG
rnacentral:lncRNA from 1 species